CUCACGUCCAGGAACUGGUUCCCAGCCUCCCAACCCCUCUGCAGCGCCCACGCGCCUGGGUCCGAGUCCGCGAGCGAAAGCCGGUGGCGCGGAGGCUUCUGGGAGAUGGAGGCCGAGACUGAGACCUGCGCAGGCGCAAACCCACAGCUGGGGUGAGGGCUGGAAGUGGCGCCGUUCGUGGCAGUGCCCCGAUGGAACCUCCUGGUCCUGUGAGGGGGCCCUUGCAAGAUUCCAGCUGGUAUGAGCCUUCUGCAGAGCCAGUCCGGACUGAAAUGUCUAUAUCACUAACAGCAGCUGAAACUCUGGCCCUUCAGGGUAUACAGGGACAAGAGAAGAUUAUGAUGAUGGAACCAAAGGAAGAGGAACAGUCUUGUGAGUAUGAGACCAGGCUACCUGGGAACCACUCUGCCAGUCAAGAGAUCUUCUGCCAACACUGCUACCAGGAGACCCCUGGUCCCCGGGAGGCCUUGAGCCAACUACAGGUACUCUGCUGUGAGUGGCUGAGGCCAGAGAAACACACCAAGGAGCAGAUCCUGGAGUUACUGGUGCUCGAACAAUUCUUGACCAUCCUGCCUGAGGAGCUCCAAUUCUGGGUGCGGGGACAUCACCUUAAGAGUGGAGAGGAGGCUGUGACUGUGCUGGAGGAUUUAGAGAAAGGACUUGAACCAGAGCCGUAGGUCCCAGGCCCUGCACGUGAACUUGCACAGGAAGAGCCAUGGGAGAAGAAGGAAUCUCUGGGAGCCUCCCAGGAAGGAGUGAGCAUCCAGCUCCAGCCUAAGGAGACCCAGCCUUUCCCAAAGAGUGAACAGGUAUAUUUACAUUUUCUGUCAUUUGUUACAGAAGAUGGCCCAGAGACCAAAGACAAAGGAUCAUUGCCACAACCACCUAUUACCGAAGUGGAAUCACAGGUUUUCUCAGAAAGACUUGCUACUGACACCUCUAUAUUUGAAGCUACCUCUGAGGGUACCUUAGAACUGCAGCAGAGAAAUCCCAAAGCAGAGAGACUGAGGUGAUCCCCUGCCCAGGGGAAAAGUUUCAGACAGAUGGUUGUCACCCAUAAGGAAAUUCUCACAGGGAAGAAAGACCAUGAAUGUAGUGAAUGUAGUAAAACCUUCAUUUAUAACUCACAUCCUGUUGUCCACCAGAGUUCAUUCUGGAGAGAAACCCUGUAAGUGUAGUGACUGUGGGAAAACUUUCAAACAGAGCUCAAACCUCGGUCAGCAUCAGAAGAUUCAUACAGGAGAGAAACCCUUCGAAUGUCAUGAAUGUGGGAAGGCCUUCAGGUGGGGUGCUCAUCUUGUUCAGCAUCAAAGGAUUCAUUCAGGAGAGAAGCCCUGUGAGUGUAAUGAGUGUGGGAAGGCCUUUAGUCAAAGCUCAUAUCUAAGUCAGCAUUGGAGAAUUCACAGAGAAACCUUUUAUUUGUAAAGAAUGUGGGAAAGCUUAUGGAUGGUGCUCAGAGCUCAUUAGACAUCAGAGAGUUCAUGCCAGAAAAGAGGCUUUGCAUUGA